ensembl:lncRNA
UGAAGAGAACUCUGUUUCAUCGUGGCAUAUUUUUAAGCACACUAUGUCGCACUCGCGAAGCUUGCGUUUACAAUCGGUUGCCAGGUGACGGCAAUUUUCUUUUUGGGCGUUCCAGCUAUGAAACUGGGUGUUCCCGGAACCCUUUGGAACGCCCGUGGCUCCGCCUAUGCACUGUGCUAGUCCUUUAGUCAGAUAACCGAACGAAGAUACAAACAGAUGAACCGUCAGAGAACCGUCAGAGCGACGCAGUUCUCUUGUGAAAAUACUUUCGGUCAGGUUUUUCUUUUUGACGCUUGAUUGAUUCCACACUGACCGAUCCCGUCCAAAGAUGGCGAGCUACCAUUGAGGAUCCACUGACAUGAACAUUUGAAAUUCUUUGGACCGGUUGUGUUGCACAAGGAACACCGAGAACACGGGUGACGCGGGUAACACAGGGAACAUCUGGAACACAGGUAACACACAGGAGGACACAACUCACCACGAACUACAAUGAUCCGACAAGGAACAAAGGAAAGACAAGGGCUUGAAUACCAAACACACACAGGGCACGCAACAAGUAACAGCUGAAACACAUUAGCGGAGGGAGCAGUAAUCACACAGGAGGGAAACUUGACCGGACAUGGGGAGAAACAAGACAGAGAUACCAAAGUAAAACAGGACCGGCCCGGCCCAGCCAUGUCACACAGCCAAAGGCCGAGGUCCGUUCCUCCCUCUCGGUCGUAUGGGCUGUCAACUUAACCUGAAAGUUCAAUAAAACUUUGGCCCAGGCCAUAACUCAUUAUGAUUGGUUCUGGGCUGGCCCUGGCCCUAUCACACACACGGCAGAGGGCCGAGGUCCCGCCCCUUGGGCCUCGGCUGUCAAUCAGUCACGUCACUAACUGACAGAAAAAUGGAGAAGAAACGUAAAGGAGGCGUGGAGAAUAGUGUC